AUUGAACGCUGGCGGCAGGCCUAACACAUGCAAGUCGAGCGAGCGGCGGACGGGUGAGUAAUGUAUGGGGACUGCCCGAUAGAGGGGGAUAACUACUGGAAACGGUAGCUAAUACCGCAUACUAUCGGAUAACCCAUAUGGGAUUAGCUUGUAGGUUAGGUAACGGCUCACCUAGGCGACGAUCCCUAGCUGGUCUGAGAGGAUGAUCAGCCACACUGGGAAUGAGACACGGCCCAGACUCCUACGGAGGCAGCAGUGGGGAAUAUUGCGAAAUGGGGGCAAGCCUGACGCAGCCAUGCCGCGUGAAUGAAGAAGGACUUCGGGUUGUAAAGUACUUUCGGGAGCGAGGCGUUAACUGCAGAAGAAGCACCGGCUAACUCCGUGCCAGCAGCCGCGGUAAUUC
rnacentral:rRNA from 1 species